AGAGUUUGAUCAUGGCUCAGAGCGAACGCUGGCGGCAGGCUUAACACAUGCAAGUCGAGCGGGCGUAGCAAUACGUCAGCGGCAGACGGGUGAGUAACGCGUGGGAACAUACCUUUUGGUUCGGAACAACACAGGGAAACUUGUGCUAAUACCGGAUAAGCCCUUACGGGGAAAGAUUUAUCGCCGAAAGAUUGGCCCGCGUCUGAUUAGCUAGUUGGUGAGGUAAUGGCUCACCAAGGCGACGAUCAGUAGCUGGUCUGAGAGGAUGAUCAGCCACAUUGGGACUGAGACACGGCCCAAACUCCUACGGGAGGCAGCAGUGGGGAAUAUUGGACAAUGGGCGCAAGCUUGAUCCAGCCAUGCCGCGUGAGUGAUGAAGGCCCUAGGGUUGUAAAGCUCUUUUGUGCGGGAAGAUAAUGACGGUACCGCAAGAACAAGCCCCGGCUAACUUCGUGCCAGCAGCCGCGGUA
rnacentral:rRNA from 1 species